rnacentral:ncRNA from 1 species
UGAUCUGAAAUCAGGCGGGAUUACCCGCUGAACUUAAGCAUAUCAAUAAGCGGAGGAAAAGAAAAUAACAAUGAUUCCCCCAGUAACGGCGAGUGAACAGGGAAAAGCUCAAAGUUGGAAGCUCCUGGCCCUAGGCUAGGCGCAUUGUAAACUAAAGCUGUAAAGUAGUUCGGUUGGCCUGGUAAAAAAGUUCCCUGGAAUGGGGCGACAUGGAGGGUGAAAUCCCCGUCUUUGGCCAGAGUUCAGCCGUGCGUUUGCUUUGCUGCGAAGAGUCAGGUUGUUUGGGAAUGCAGCCUAAAAUGGGAGGUAGACUUCUCCUAAAGCUAAAUAUUGACGAAAGACCGAUAGCGAACAAGUACCGUGAGGGAAAGAUGAAAAGCACUUUGAAAAGAGGGUCAAAAAGUACGUGAAAUUGCUGAAAGGGAACCGUAUGAAAUCAGCCUGAUGUGUGGGUAAUCAGCCUGGGCUUUGGCCUGGGUGCACUUGCCCAUGUAUUAGCCUGCGAC